AACCACCAUUGCAUCCCAGGGAUGGUGCCCUCUACAGGAGGAGUUUUGCCUCACUUUGGGAAUCUCUUAACUGCAUCUCUUGCUCCUAAGGAUUAGAAGAAUUGAGCUAAUGGGAGUCUUGCAGCCUCUCUAUCCACUGAGGCAGGGGUCAUGACUACAGGUCCAAGCCACUGCUGCAGUCAGAGAAGGCCGCAGAGAACUACUUGGCUUUAUUGAGGUUCCCUUGGCUGAGCCUCUGGUGCCCGCGGCAUGAGCCUGGUUCUGGGGAAAAACCCACAUGAUGCCCAUGUGUUGGAAUGACCCUUGUUCGGUCUCUUUCCCUCAGACAAACCAUCUGUGCUCACGUCUGUGUGCAACUCUGUGCAAUCCACAGCCGUCGAGGCAAGCAGGAUCCCUUGACACACUCCGCCCAGUGCCUGAGCUCUUUUUCUUCUCAUCUCCUCCCUCCUCCCCCUCUUCCUCCAAGAGGAAGGAUUCAUUGUGGCUCAGAGUUAAAGGGCACGGCCCAUCAUGGCAGCAGGAUCUUGAGGCCACGCCACUUCCACAAUCGGAGCAAAACUGACAUUUCUUAAUGGUUUUUAGAGACCAGAUGGUUUGUCAAAAUCAUGAAGUAGGUAGCCAUGGCUGACCCUAUAUCUGCAACUGCCUUUCUUUGUGAAAAGGACAGCGUCCUGGAACGUUCCUGAUACAUGGAAACCUGCCCAUCUCCACAGUGCUCAUUGGAAGAGAACAUAGGUGUAGACAGGAGAUGGAGGGAUUGACUGCUUGACUGAUUCCCACCUCCUCUGUCUGUUCGUCUGGAAAGAGCACCAGAUCCAGCCGGAGCACUUCUGCUUUGAGUAUGAUCCAUUAAGUGAGGCCUGUUGGGAUGCCGUCUGCACUGUGUCUGCAGAGUGCAGUCAGGCAUCUUUACUCUCCACAGAAACACAGAGAGAAGAACAGCAGCAACCUGGUCUCUUCACGGAACACUGUAAGCCUCCAAAGAGGUGUAAUGCAUCCUGCGGCUCUCCCGAGAUGGGCUGUGAGAGGCUUACCCGAAGGUUGGCAAAUCAGACUUCCACACGCCUCAGCAUCCUGUAGCCAAUGGCUUGCUCAGCCGACGUAUAUUACCCUGCGUGGUUUCAUUCAUCAAGGGGAUCCCCAGCUUCAACAGAACACAGCCAUGACCUUCCCUGCCUCCUCCAGAAAAGCAAGUGCGCACAUCUUGCCCUAAGAAGAACUCAGGGUGCCCUGG
rnacentral:lncRNA from 1 species